UAAGACUGGAAGGGCUCUUCCGAAGCAUGCCGACUUAGCUUUAACGACGGCCUGCUUCAGAGGAGCUCCUUUCAGUCUUA